GAUGAAGAACGUAGCGAAAUGCGAUACUUGGUGUGAAUUGCAGAAUCCCGUGAACCAUCGGGUCUUUGAACGCAAGUUGCGCCUCAAGCCAUUAGGUUGAGGGCACGUCUGCCUGGGCGUCACUUAUCGUUGCCUGAUGCCAGUUUCCUCGUGAUGGGUGACUGUGCAGGGCGAAUGAUGGCUUCCCGUGAGCAUUGUUGCCUCAUGGUUGGUUGAAAAUUGAGUCCUUGGUAGGGAGCGCCGUGAUAGAUGGUGGUUGAGUGACGAACGAGACCCAAUCAUGUGAGACCCCUACCGAAUUUGGCCUUCAUGACCCACAUGCGUCUUUGGAACGCUCAUGACGAGACCUCAGGUCAGGCGGGGCUACCCGCUGAGUUUAAGCAUAUCAAUAAGCGGAGGA
rnacentral:misc_RNA from 1 species